rnacentral:rRNA from 1 species
GACGAACGUUGGCGGCGUGCUUAACACAUGCAAGUCGAACGAGAAUCUGUGGAUAGAGGAUUCGUCCAAUUGAAGCAGAGGAAAGUGGCGGACGGGUGAGUAACGCGUGAGGAACCUGCCUUGGAGAGGGGGACAACAGCUGGAAACGGCUGCUAAUACCGCAUAAUAUAUCUGAAUCGCAUGGUUUGGAUAUCAAAGAUUUAUCGCUCUGAGAUGGCCUCGCGUCUGAUUAGGUAGUUGGCGGGGUAACGGCCCACCAAGCCGACGAUCAGUAGCCGGACUGAGAGGUUGAACGGCCACAUUGGGACUGAGAUACGGCCCAGACUCCUACGGGAGGCAGCAGUGGGGAAUAUUGGGCAAUGGGCGCAAGCCUGACCCAGCAACGCCGCGUGAAGGAAGAAGGCUUUCGGGUUGUAAACUUCUUUUAAGGGGGAAGAGGAGAAGACGGUACCCCUAGAAUAAGCCACGGCUAACUACGUGCCAGCAGCCGCGGUAAUACGUAGGUGGCAAGCGUUGUCCGGAUUUACUGGGUGUAAAGGGCGUGUAGCCGGGGGAGCAAGUCAGAUGUGAAAUCUAUGGGCUUAACCCAUAAACUGCAUUUGAAACUGUUCUUCUUGAGUGCUGGAGGGGCAAUCGGAAUUCCUUGUGUAGCGGUGAAAUGCGUAGAUAUAAGGAGGAACACCAGUGGCGAAGGCGGAUUGCUGGACAGUAACUGACGGUGAGGCG